GACGAACGCUGGCGGCGUGCUUAACACAUGCAAGUCGAACGGAAAGGCCCUGCUUUUGUGGGGUGCUCGAGUGGCGAACGGGUGAGUAACACGUGAGUAACCUACCCUUGACUUUGGGAUAACUUCAGGAAACUGGGGCUAAUACCGGAUAGGAGCUCCUGCUGCAUGGUGGGGGUUGGAAAGUUUCGGCGGUUGGGGAUGGACUCGCGGCUUAUCAGCUUGUUGGUGGGGUAGUGGCUUACCAAGGCUUUGACGGGUAGCCGGCCUGAGAGGGUGACCGGCCACAUUGGGACUGAGAUACGGCCCAGACUCCUACGGGAGGCAGCAGUGGGGAAUAUUGCACAAUGGGCGGAAGCCUGAUGCAGCAACGCCGCGUGCGGGAUGACGGCCUUCGGGUUGUAAACCGCUUUCGCCUGUGACGAAGCGUGAGUGACGGUAAUGGGUAAAGAAGCACCGGCUAACUACGUGCCAGCAGCCGCGGUGAUACGUAGGGUGCGAGCGUUGUCCGGAUUUAUUGGGCGUAAAGGGCUCGUAGGUGGUUGAUCGCGUCGGAAGUGUAAUCUUGGGGCUUAACCCUGAGCGUGCAUUCGAUACGGGUUGACUUGAGGAAGGUAGGGGAGAAUGGAAUUCCUGGUGGAGCGGUGGAAUGCGCAGAUAUCAGGAGGAACACCAGUGGCGAAGGCGGUUCUCUGGGCCUUUCCUGACGCUGAGGAGCGAAAGCGUGGGGAGCGAACAGGCUUAGAUACCCUGGUAGUCCACGCUGUAAACGGUGGGUACUAGGUGUGGGGUCCAUUCCACGGGUUCCGUGCCGUAGCUAACGCUUUAAGUACCCCGCCUGGGGAGUACGGCCGCAAGGCUAAAACUCAAAGGAAUUGACGGGGCCCCGCACAAGCGGCGGAGCAUGCGGAUUAAUUCGAUGCAACGCGUAGAACCUUACCUGGGUUUGACAUGGAUCGGGAGUGCUCAGAGAUGGGUGUGCCUCUUUUGGGGUCGGUUCACAGGUGGUGCAUGGCUGUCGUCAGCUCGUGUCGUGAGAUGUUGGGUUAAGUCCCGCAACGAGCGCAACCCUUGUUCACUGUUGCCAGCACGUUAUGGUGGGGACUCAGUGGAGACCGCCGGGGUCAACUCGGAGGAAGGUGGGGAUGACGUCAAGUCAUCAUGCCCCUUAUGUCCAGGGCUUCACGCAUGCUACAAUGGCUGGUACAGAGAGUGGCGAGCCUGUGAGGGUGAGCGAAUCUCGGAAAGCCGGUCUCAGUUCGGAUUGGGGUCUGCAACUCGACCUCAUGAAGUCGGAGUCGCUAGUAAUCGCAGAUCAGCAACGCUGCGGUGAAUACGUUCCCGGGGCU
rnacentral:rRNA from 1 species